rnacentral:tRNA from 1 species
AACAGCUGACAAUUAGCAUUUCAUGCGCAUCGAUUUCGGCUCGAUGAGAGCCUACAGGCAUUUGUUUUUUU